AACCGCCGUAUGCUUGGAAACUUGCUUGUACGGUGGUGUGGGGGGCUUAGUGUAAUAAACCCAUUUUAAACGGUAAAACGCAUCAAUUCUAUCCCGAU
rnacentral:ncRNA from 1 species